UUUCCGUAGGUGAACCUGCGGAGGGAUCAUUG
rnacentral:rRNA from 1 species